CAGAGUUCAUGCCCUUCGGGGUAGACCUCCCACCCUUUGUAUACCGUGCCUUUGUUGCUUUGGCGGGCCGCCUCGCCGCCACCGGCCUCUGGGCUGGUGCGCGCCCGCCAAAGAAACCCAAACCCUGUCUUACAGUGUCGUCCGAGUACUAUAUAAUAGUUA
rnacentral:misc_RNA from 1 species